rnacentral:misc_RNA from 1 species
ACUCCGUAGGUGAACCUGCGGAGGGAUCAUUACAGAGUUCAUGCCCUUACGGGUAGAUCUCCCACCCUAUGUUAUUAUUACUUUGUUGCUUUGGCGGGCCGUCAGGCUCACGCCCGGCUACCGGCCCCGGCUGGUAAGCGCCCGCCAGAGAACCCAAAACCCUGAUUAUUAGUGUCGUCUGAGUACUAUAUAAUAGUUAAAACUUUCAACAACGGAUCUCUUGGUUCUG